UCCAAGCCAGCAUGGGUUGGAUGGUUUAACAGGAACUGGCAAGUCAGAAGACCGCACCAAGCUCUGCUGACUGUUUUGAUAUGGUUUCUAUGACCAGAUGCACUUCCUAAUGCCAACCACU